GUAAAAAAUCUGUCCCAGGCAUCCUCUGGCUGUAAUGCACAGACAUUCAAAAGCCCCAAAUAAAAUUGGGAACACAAUUAGAUAUAUAUACAUAUAUGAAUACUUAUAGCUCCUUGUGGUUUCACCUUUUCCUUAAACUUGAGAGUGUUUCCAGUGUAAAAGAGAAACAAAAAGCUCUAAAACAUCUGUGAGAGGAGAAUGUUUAUAAUACAAAAACAAGGCCUUAUAAUUUGAAUUUAGAGAUUAUUUCUGGGGCUUAUAUACAAGUAACUAGAUCCAGAUAUCUAGAGAGAUCCUCUGUAACAACAUAUCCUUUGGAAUUCACAGACUUAGGGCUGCUCCUAAGCAAAACUACAUCUUCCCAGGGAACAGAGGGAGAAGAGGAAGUUUGUUGCUUAAAGAAAAGCAGUGGGUGGUUAAAUAGGGUGAAGAAGGUGCAGUAGUUAUGUGGCAGCUGGGCAGCACUAUGGUAAAGAUGUUAAUGGCUGGAAAAAGCAAAGAAGUUGCCAGACAUAGGUUCUGCCACAAUUGGACAUUUACAGGAGGAAUUGGAAACACUACCUGUGACUUCUGCAGAAGGCUUUAUGAAGGGUUCAGGUUGGCUUGUGGUACCUCUUCCCUUCAUUCUUAGUCACAUGUCAAAGUUCUGCAACCUUCUCAGUAACAGAAGCACGUAUAAUCUAUUCUCACAUGUGAUAUAAAUUCAGGAAUGGCAAUAAAAACAGCAAUCUGCAAUCAGUUAUGCUGUGAGGGAUUUAUGAUAUUGCAUUAAUAUUUCAGACAAGCAGUAUGUUUCAACAUAGUUGUCAGGUACUACCGAAGAUGAGAAAAUAUACUUUAUAUUGCUCAGUUUGUUUUGGUUUCCUAUAUGGUUAGCUAGACUGCUAUAUCUAACCAGAUGUCUAACCACAAAACAGAUAAAGUCUUCUCCACUCUCAAAAAAGAGCAGACAUGUCAAAACUAUUGUAAAGUCCAUUAAGAAGUAGGAGAGGUAACUCUUGAGUUACAGCUGUAUAGUUUUCUAUCUGAGAGUAGUCAGAUUUGGACUGAUAUCUCCCAACAAGACUGAGAUUGAGUAAGCUUUAGUCCAGAAUUUCUGGAGAAGAUUAGAUCUCAAAAGGGCGGUACUUUGGCACACUGAUGGAAGACCACACUUAUGAGGAGAAAAUGUUGGCAGUGCACAACAGGUGAUGAAACCUUGGCUGGAAGCUUCUUCAUACUGACACUAACAGAGUGAGUUACCAUGGAGGGCACAGUAAAUUUAAUAACCUUUAUAACAUGCAGCAAGGAUGUGGUGCACAGCACUGUCACCUGUGAAGCUCUGAAGGUAACUGAGAAUAUAUAUAUUUUUUUACCUUUCCAAUAAAACAUUGAGGCCCUGAACUGUCAGGAGAAGGGCAAUGGAGCUGUGAAGGGUCUGGAGCACAAGUCUCAUGAGAAGCUGCUGAGGGAGCUGAGGUUGUUCAGUAUGAAGAAGAGGAGCUCAGGGGAGACCUCAUCACUCUCUACAGUGACCUGAAAGGAGGAUGCGGUGAGGUGGGGGUUGGCCUCUUUUCCCAGGUAACAGUGAUAGAGCCAGAGGUAAUGACAUCAAGUUGAGCCAGAGGAGGUUCAGGUUGCAUAUUAGGAAAGAAGUUCUUAUCAGAAAGAGUGGUGCUGCAGUGGCACAGGCUGCCCAGGGAGGUGGUGCAGUCACCAUCACUGGAGGUGUUGAAGAACAGCGUGGAUGUGGCACUGAGGGACGUGGUCAGUGGGCACG
ensembl:lncRNA